UCCGUAGGUGGAUAAUUAAGUCAGAGGUGAAAUCCUGCAGCUCAACUGUAGAAUUGCCUUUGAUACUGGUUAACUUGAGUUAUUAUGAAGUAGUUAGAAUAUGUAGUGUAGCGGUGAAAUGCAUAGAUAUUACAUAGAAUACCAAUUGCGAAGGCAGAUUACUAAUAAUUAACUGACACUGAUGGACGAAAGCGUGGGGAGCGAACAGGAUUAGAUACCCUGGUAGUCC
rnacentral:rRNA from 1 species